UACAGAGGUCUCAAGCGUUGUUCGGAUUCAUUGGGCGUAAAGGGUGCGUAGGUGGCGCCGUAAGUCGGGUGUGAAAUUUCGGAGCUUAACUCCGAAACUGCAUUCGAUACUGCGGUGCUUUGAGGACUGGAGAGGAGACUGGAAUUCAUGGUGUAGCAGUGAAAUGCGUAGAGAUCAUGAGGAAGACCGUGGCGAAGGCGGGUCUCUGGACAGUUCCUGACACUGAGGCACG
rnacentral:rRNA from 1 species